ACACACCCUGGACAGGAAACCAGUCAAAACGUGUUCCACAUGCAACAGAUGUCGGAUUAAGUCCUCAGUAAUUACAUACCAAGUGAAACUCUUUGCACUUUACAGACACAGUCGACACAGAUUAUUUCCCAUCUUGAUCUUAAAUUACUUUUUACUGAAAAUUAAGUUUGAAGACCAUCUGGUUAGAGCGCUCGUCCCUGCUGGAGGGCGUGCUGUUUGAUCCAGAUCCAGCAAAAAUACCCGUCGAAAGUGAAAGUAAAUGUAAAUGCUGUUUUUAUCCCUGCGCGGCCAGACAGUCACCGUGUAGUGGGCUAAACCGAGCCAGCCCGUGCUUGUGUUUUGUGUCGGAUCCUCGCGGGAAUCGCGAUCCGGUUCGCCUGCCUAUCCGCAGUGCUGCGGGUCCGGGAGAGGACACAGUGAUGGAGUCUGGUCGCCCACAGCGUCUGUUUCUGAUCGUCCUGUUUCUCCAGCAGCCCUCUGUCUCCAGACCAGAGACGUUUCAGGUUCUUGGUCCAGCUGAUCCUGUUGUCACUGUGGCUGGUGAAGACACUGUCCUGCCCUGUUACCUCUCACCCAGGAUCAGCGCUGAGGGACUGGAGAUCCGCUGGUUCAGGGAUGAACCCACU
rnacentral:lncRNA from 1 species